CGCGCGGCCAGCCAGGUCCGGGAAGAUGAACAACGGUGGCAAAGUCGAGAAGGAGAACACCCCGAACGAGGCCAAUCUUCAGGAGGAAGAGGUUCGGACUCUGUUUGUCAGUGGUCUCCCUCUGGACAUCAAACCUCGAGAACUCUACCUACUUUUCAGACCAUUUAAGGGCUAUGAAGGCUCUCUUAUAAAGCUUACGUCUAAGCAGCCCGUAGGUUUUGUCAGUUUUGACAGUCGCUCAGAAGCAGAAGCUGCAAAGAAUGCUUUGAACGGCAUCCGCUUUGAUCCUGAAAUUCCGCAGACACUACGACUAGAGUUUGCUAAGGCAAACACGAAGAUGGCCAAGAACAAACUCGUAGGGACUCCAAACCCCAGUACUCCUGUGCCCAACACUGUACCUCAGUUCAUUGCCAGAGAGCCAUAUGAGCUCACAGUGCCUGCACUUUACCCCAGUAGCCCUGAAGUGUGGGCCCCGUACCCUCUGUACCCAGCGGAGCUAGCGCCUGCUCUACCUCCUCCUGCUUUCACCUAUCCCGCUUCACUGCAUGCCCAGAUGCGCUGGCUCCCUCCCUCCGAGGCUACUUCUCAGGGCUGGAAGUCCCGUCAGUUCUGCUGAACGCUGUGUCCCAGGUGUGUGAUGGCGGCUGCAAUCUGUCUUGGGGAUAUUAAUGACAUCUUCUCUGGUGGCGACUGCUGUCCAGCUGUUCUGCAAAACUGGAGCUUUCAGGCUUGGAAAAACCUUGCCCAGUUUUGAUCCCUUCAAGACUUUGCCACAGCCUCUAUCACACAUCUGUUUUUCUUAAAAUAGAUAUAAUAAAAAUGUUUUACCCUUUUACACUGUAAAAUUAUAAGAAAUAGUGUGUUAUUUGUGAAUGCAUGGUCUGACAUUUGUGUACUGUACAGUUGAGAUUUUCAAACAAAACCUAAAAGUCAACAAUCCAAGAAAGUGAGUAUUUUUAUACCAAACAUUUUAAGUAUGACGUAUGAAUUCUUACACUGGGUUGCAUCACAACUUUUGUGCUUGAUUUUGAAUGCUUAUAAUUAGAAAUAUCUAUUUUUUUUCCUCUUAAAAACAAGCUGCAUGUUUCUAACUAGAAUCAAAAGCUCCAGAAUUGCAUUGUGAAUGUAGAGAAUCUGUGCCUGGCCCAAGUCCAGGAUAUUUUAGUGUUGUGUUGUUAGACCUGUUCUCUGAAAUACAAGGUGGAGAAUUCGGUGGAUAACCUGUGAGACAAUCGAAGCUUCUGCCUCAAUGGCACAUUCCCAUCUGGGCAUAGAAAACAUUGGUGAAGCUGAGCAGAUGUGCCGUUAGAAACCCUGUGGCUGCAGACUCUGGGUGCCAAGAGUUCUGUUUUGCAGUUUCUCUUUUUUCCUAGUGUGUGACUGACUGCUGAUCACUACUCCCUUCCCACUCUGGGCCAGUGGAACUGUUGAGUCAGCCUCACCCAUAAGGGAAACCUUGGCUUGGAGGCAGAGCCGACUUCGCUCACGUGGCUGCAAUGGUCAGUGUAUGUGUCUGAAGUGAUUUUGCAAGACAUCGGCCCAACUGAGCUGGUGUUCUGGAGUUUGAGCAGCACUGUGCCAAAGAGACCAUCUAUUGUGUACUCACUGCGAGACUCCCUACCACAUGGCACGGAUCAGGAUGAAAGGAACGAGCGACCACGUGCAAUGAGUACUGUUGGCUUUGCUUCCAGACUUGUUCAAAACUGAAUGUCAGUGGACAUUUGCAGAGUCAGCCAGCUCAGCUCUUCCCCCUCCCCCUAUACAAGAGCCACGUGUGAAAUUGUAUUGGCCUCAGUUUCCCACUGCUGAUAUAGCUAGUCACAAUCUGCUCAUGUUAAACUUUCAGUUUUACUGAUUAUAUACAUGCUUGGUGUGAGGUUUUGUUUCAUUAUUUUUUCACUAGAAAUGUUAAGAUAUAUUAAAGGUCACCACAAAUAAACUGGGCUAGGAGAGGCAGGCUCAUCUUUCUUGCCGAAAAUAAAAGGAAGCACCAGCUUGGGAACCCCGGCUACGUCACUGCUGCGGUCAUGGACCUGCCCUUGGCAUGAGGCUCUAAGUGAGAAUCCUGAGGGAACCAGAGCCACUUCAGUUAGACUUUCCUAAACUGCUGAAAGGCACUUUUCUAUUGUCAUUUUAAGAAAUAAACUCCUUACUCCAGCUA